rnacentral:snRNA from 1 species
GGAUGUGAGGGUGAUCUGGCUGCGACAUCUGUCAACAACCCCAUCGUUCACCGGGGUUGAUUCGGCUGAUCUGGCUGGCUAGGCAGGUGUCCCCUUCCUUCCUCUCUCACCGCUCCAUGUGCGUCCCUCCCAAAGCUGUGCACUUGGUCAAAGAGGAUGGCCUUCCCCCAAAUAGAUGGGCCGGGUCUUUGGUCGAGGGUAUACAAGUAGCUGCGCUCCCCUGCUAGAACCUCCAAACAAGCUUUCAAGAGAACAUGUUCUGAAAUAAGAUAGUUUGGGUCCAAAUUCUUCACCUGCCACUUACUAGCUGUGUGAUGUU